rnacentral:rRNA from 1 species
AUUGAACGCUGGCGGCAGGCCUAACACCUGCAAGUCGAACGAGUGGCGGACGGGUGAGUAAUGUCUGGGAAACUGCCCGAUGGAGGGGGAUAACUACUGGAAACGGUAGCUAAUACCGCAUACCAUCGGAUGUGCCCAGAUGGGAUUAGCUAGUAGGUUGGGUAACGGCUCACCUAGGCGACGAUCCCUAGCUGGUCUGAGAGGAUGACCAGCAACACUGGAACUGAGACACGGUCCAGACUCCUACGGGAGGCAGCAGUGGGGAAUAUGGCACAAUGGGCGCAAGCCUGAUGCAGCCAUGCCGCGUGUAGGAAGAAGGCCUUCGGGUUGUAAAGUACGUUCAGCGAGGAGGCGUUACUCGCAGAAGAAGCACCGGCUAACUCCGUGCCAGCAGCCGCGGUAAUAC